rnacentral:lncRNA from 10 species
UUUCAGUAGAGGUGCUAAGGAAAUUUGAAAGCUUCGGGUAAAGGUCUUAUCUGUUUUUAUACAUCACAUCCAGUUGUUAUUUUAACUACAGAGCAAUCUAUAGAUUCCUGGUGAUAAGAAAUAUAGUAGAAUAGGAAAUGUUAGAGAUUUUAUUCUUCCUUUUGAAGAAUUUGUACUUAGAGACUUCUUCUUGGUUUCUUUAUUAUAGAACCUCACAGGUGAAGGGAGAAUAUUUUCUCAUACUCUUCUUGGUAGCUCAUCAGAACUUCAGAAUAUAUUGAUGUUGUUUGGGGCUGAUUUUUCCUACAAGCUGUGGAUUUUAUUCUCCUUACAAAGAUAGAGUCUACCAUCUGUUUCCCUAGAGUGGGGCUUAAUACUUGGGAUAUCUUUUAUAUGUACAGUACUUUCCCCUUAUCCACGGGGGAUAAGUUCCAGGACCCCCAGUAAAUGUCUGAAACCACAGAUAUUACAGAACCCUAUAUACUGUUCUUUUCUAUACAGAUAUACUCAUGAUAAAGUUGAAUUUUUAAAUUAGGCAUAGUAAGAGAUGAACAGCAAUAACUAAUAAUAAAAUAGAACAAUUAUAACAAUAUGCUGGCAUCACUUUGGUGCCAUUAUUAAGUUAAAAUAACGGUUACUUGAACAGAAGCACUGUGUACUGAGAUAGUUAAUCUGUUAACUUAAAUGGCUACUGAGUGACAAAGCUGGGAGCCACUGGACAAAAGAAUGGUUCAUGUCCUGGGUGGGAUGGAGCAUGAUGGAGCCAGGACAGCAUGAGAUUUCAUCAGACUAUUCAGAAUAGUGUGUAAUUUAAAACUUAUGAAUUAUUUCUGGAAUUUUCCAUGUGAUAUUUUCUGACUGCAGUUGACCACAGGUAACUGCAAUCACAGAACGCAAAAUCUUGGAUAAGGGGGAAUCUACUGUAAAAUAUUAAGGUUGCUAGAAUUACCUUAGUAUCAGGACUUCUGCAACCAAGGCCAUAUUACAAAAUUUAAACUUCCCUCCUUUACUCUUCUUCCCUCUCCAUAGCUAUUGCUUUUGCAGACAUUUCUGUCAAUUAUAUUUGAGCAAGUUAGAACCAGUACAUUCAUGACUUCCCUUCUCUCCGAAGGCCCUUUUAGUGGAAUACAAUUCUCUCCUCCUGUUACUAGUUUUCUUCUCUAGGUUUAUGAAGUUAAUUUUGACCUAUGAUUUAUUUUUUUUCUCCCCUUAGUGAGGUCUUUAUUUUAAGCACAAUGCUUAUCCUGUUGGUGAAAGUUUAUGUUACUGAAACAAUUGAUAAUUGGCUCGGUAUAAUUUUGCCACUUGAAAUUUGUUUAGAUUAUGUGAAUAAAAUUUAGUGGAAAAGAAUAGACAUUUUAUAGUAUCCAUAGAAAAAAAUGGCUUUUAAAGUUAUUCUUUGCUUCUUAGAUAUAGUUACUCCACAUGUAAUUUGGGAGUUGGUAUUUUAAGAAGUUCUUUGUAGACCCAGCUAGCACAAAUUGUAAAGUAUUUGUAAAGUAUAUACAAAGUCUAAUGCCAAGGUACAGGUGAGGAUUCAUGUCGGUGACAAAGAUGGAAAUUCAGAGAUUCUUAAUUCCCAACUGCCUUUUAUGGCUGUAACAUGGGUUGUUGGAAGAGUGUCUGCAUGUCAUCUCAGUAUGUGUUAUAAGCAAGCAUUCUGAAAGGAUUUGUUUCCUAAAGACCUUGAAUUAAAAAUUAAUCCUGAAAAAAGGUAAUGAGCAUUUCUGUUCAUUAAAGUGAUCCUACCAUUUAGCAGUAGCAUAGACACAAUUUACCAAUCACUUGCCCUGUUAGUUUUUCAGUUCUCUGAACCUGGAUUAAUUUUUAAUUGGGGGAAAUUUACAUUAUUUCAGAAUUUGGGCAUAAAGUGAGACUUUAUUUCUUUUUAGAAAUGUGCAAACUUGAGAAAAAUGCAGUAAAAUAUGUCUGAACUGGCUAUUUGGUAAAAAUGUGUUUCAAGCUGAUAUUGAGCAAACAAGACUAAUAUCCAAGGCUGAUAUUUAGCCAGUAUUAACAGUUAUGGUGAUACUGGUUGUUAUUAUUGAAAAGCUUUCUUACCAGUUGAUAACUGAAUAGAAUAGGAUCUAUUUUGCUUUAGAAGAAUUGCUAGUUUAUCAUCAUGUAUGAAUUAUGUAGCAGUUACUAUAUCUAAAUAGUUUAGUUUUACUUUGAUUUUAUUGUUAAUGUGCUCUUUUGUGAUUAGUAAUUUGGUUUUAUUUUUAUGCAUAAUUUUUAUGUAGUUAGUCAUACUGUGAAGAGUUUUGGUAUUGAUAAACUUAAUAAUUUAUAAUAAAAUAUUAAAUAGAACACCAAGAAUGGAGAGAUAACAAAGUUUUAAUACAUUUCUUAACAUUCCUUUU